rnacentral:rRNA from 1 species
UACAGAGGUGGCAAGCGUUGUUCGGAAUUACUGGGCGUAAAGGGCGCGUAGGCGGCCUUCUAAGUCAGACGUGAAAUCCCCCGGCUUAACCUGGGAACUGCGUCUGAUACUGGGAGGCUCGAGUAUGGGAGAGGGAUGUAGAAUUCCAGGUGUAGCGGUGAAAUGCGUAGAUAUCGGGAGGAACACCAGUGGCGAAGGCGACUACCUGGCCUGUUCUUGACGCUGAGGCGCGAAAGCUAGGGGAGCAAACGGG